CUUGAGAUGAACUCGGCUGUCGGCGGCGGCGGCGGGACUUUUCUCGUGGAGUGCAGACGAACUGACCGCGUUUACACUGAACCGAGCCUGGGCGCUGCCACCGAAGACUUUUGUUUUUGUUUGUUUGUUUGAGUGGCUUGUUCUUGGGAGUACCUGGCGCGGACAUUCCGCGCGAAAUCGUCGGUGGAUCUUGCUGGCAGGUCGUAUUCACUAAGUAUGGGUCUAGUCAGAGAUAUAGUUUUUUACAGAAUGACCAUACUUGCGUCUGAUGGCGUUAUUUUUGUGCAUGCUAAGAUGUCGCUGGUCAUGUGCGUCAUGCAGCCAGGGGAAUGUGAUAUUUUUUUUUUUUUUGCCCCUGGCCGCUCGGAAAAAAAGCAGUCGUGUGGCUGCUAAUUGUAUGGGUGGUUGUAUGUUAAGAAAUUGGCUCGGCGAUCAUUUGUUCGACAUUCCGCGUCAUGUGUACAUUCAUGUAUAAAAAUUCAUACGCACCGUAUCGUGCCAGUUAACGUCACUUGCGGUUGGAGCACGUUGCCAACUUCGUAACACUUUCGACGCCCUGUAAUCGCCGGUCGUGUCGGUGGAGCCACAUUCCAUUGUUCACCCAUAUGGUGCCGACGGAGCUGUUAAUAGUAUGCGAGGACAUUUGAUGUGGCGAGAGUGACGCUUGCCAUUUUUCCCGCUCAGGAUUCGACAUCAGAAAUGGACGCGACAGCGCCUUGAGUAUUCUGCGAGACCAGUGCUAAGCACUGCCCUGGCAUGAAUGCACUGUUGCGCGAAGAAUGAUAUUUGCCCCACCCUUUAGCGCGGCAUGUUAAGGGCGUAGAACAUGGGGCCACCCAGCAAGUGAUAAAAGCUGGCUCCCAAGACUCGUUCCGUGCUAUCGUACGCCUGCCAGGAAGAUCCACCGGCUACAAGCUUUGUGAAUGCUCAUGUAACUUCAUCUCCGUCGUUUGUAAACACCCGGUUCCUAUUCGAACUCUUUCCGUCUUAGUAUAGUCUUCUUCGUCCACGUAGUGUUUUCCUCUGUCUGAAAAAGUCAUUGUCUACUACUACAAAAACAAAAUGGGUUAAAAAAAAGUUUUUUUAUAUAGUUUUUUUUUUACAUUUUGCACUCUGAUUUGAAUUUGGCUCAUCUCAUGGUCGAAAAUUUUCUCUCUCUCUCUCUUUCAUGCCCCCAAUAACCCUUCCCCCUUUUCCAAGGGCCCCUUCGGGGGCCCGCCAGUGGUGUCCGGCGGAAGCAGAGCUGCGCUGCGAUUCUCCUCCUGACCCUCAUGCACUCAAUGUGCACUGGGCCUGAAGAGUGCUUUCGAGCACAGUGCCCGAAGCAAGAAGCCUAACUGCCUGGACCGAAGGCGAAGCCAUCGCAAGUUCUGCGUAGUUGAGAUCAAAGAACGGCACCUCGCUAGGACUGGCUGGUUUACAGUGCUAGUUCACAAGAUUGCCUGGCGACAGACUACUUUCACGUUCCACCUGCGAUUGGCAGCUGCUGACGGAAAUAAAUGUGAUAUGCUUA